rnacentral:rRNA from 1 species
AUGAUGCCUGCACGGUUUGAAGAACUGAAGAAAUCAGCUGCAAGAGCGGGUGCUCUUACUGAACUGACUCAGGCCAAAGCAUGGAUAUCUGAUCUUGAUCUGGCCGAUUUGGCAAACGGCUGCCCAAGCAUAAAGGAAGAUGGGUCAGACUUCAGUACUGAUGACCUUACUGCCAUUAUGAGGGAAAUGCGUCCACUGGUUAGUAAAUUGGUUGAAGAGACUGAUCUUUCAUAUUAUCAGUCGGUUUAUGAUGUCAACAAUAAGAGAAUUAAAGCGCCUGAUGUUCCAAAUCUUACUCCUCCAAUCCGUAAGCACACUUAUGCCCCUAAUGUUGACCCCUCCACACUUAUAAGUGAUGAAGCUGUAUUCAAAGCCUUAACUGGGAUUGAUUGGACAACCAUUUACUUCCAGCCACUGGGUAGAGAGGAGGAAGAUGAACCGGAACUAGAUGAUCCACAACCUUCAAGUCAACCAGGCCAAGAUUCAUAA